CUUAGUGAAUAGCUAAGUAAUACCUAAGAAUCAAAGUAAUCCUGAAAAAAUUUCUUGUAGAUUUUCAGAAGUAAAGGUCAUUCUGAUGAUGAGGUCUCAGUUGGAAAUAAAGUACAUGUUAUUAGGAACUGUGGUAAAGGUGAUUAUGGUAAACUGUGGUAAAAGUGAUUAUGGCAAAGAAUGUGGUUAAACUGUGUUUGUAUCCUAGUGUUUCCUAGAAGGUAGAUGUUGUAAGAAAUUCAAUUGUAUAUUUGGGUAAGAAAAUUUCUCAGCAUAGUGUUGGAUAUUCUUGGCUAUUUGUACUAUAUGAUAAAUGACUUAAAAUGAAGUUGUUAAUAAAAAAAAUCAGGAGAACUUUAAAAUUUGGAUAAUCCUCAGCCUAUACAUAUUGUUAAAAAUGAGAUGGCCUGGAAGGAGAAGAUAGCCAGAAGAAGAUGCAUCUAAUGAGCUCCUGAUUCCGAAUGACACCUGCAGAGAUGCCAACAUUAAAUCACCAGCCUUUGCCUUUUCUCUUGUGGCAACAGCCCAGUCUGCUCCAAGCAUUAUAACAGGGACUGUGUCUGUCCUCCCACCAGCUGCUCUGAGUACUUCUACUCAGCUUGCCCUAUUAUAAUGCCUGUGAUGGGACAAAUACAGACCUCUAUCAUGCUAAAGUGAAUGCCUCACUGGACUGCUGCAAUAGUCCCUCCCGUGCCUGAGGCUGGGUUCCAUCUACACACCCUAUAAAUACCCUUACAAGGUGAAAGUGGU
rnacentral:lncRNA from 1 species